AGAGUUUGAUCCUGGCUCAGAAUCAACGCUGGCGGCGCGCUUAACACAUGCAAGUCGCACGAGAAAGUGGAGCAAUCCAUGAGUAAAGUGGCGUACGGGUGAGUAACACGUGGAUCAUCUACCUCUUGGUGGGGAAUAACCCUGGGAAACCGGGGCUAAUACCGCAUAAGCCUGCGAAGGGAAAGCAGCAAUGCGCCGAGAGAGGAGUCCGCGGCCGAUUAGCUUGUUGGUAGGGUAAUGGCCUACCAAGGCAAUGAUCGGUAGCCGGCCUGAGAGGGCACACGGCCACACUGGCACUGAAACACGGGCCAGACUCCUACGGGAGGCAGCAGUGGGGAAUCUUGCACAAUGGGGGCAACCCUGAUGCAGCGACGCCGCGUGAGCGAUGAAGCCCUUCGGGGUGUAAAGCUCUUUCGGCAGGAACGAUAAUGACGGUACCUGCAGAAGAAGCUGCGGCUAACUACGUGCCAGCAGCCGCGGUAAUACGUAGGCAGCAAGCGUUGUUCGGAGUUACUGGGCGUAAAGAGUGUGUAGGCGGUUCUCUAAGUUCCGUGUGAAAUCUCCCGGCUCAACUGGGAGGGUGCGCGGAAAACUGGAGGGCUUGAGUAUGGGAGAGGAAAGCGGAAUUCCUGGUGUAGCGGUGAAAUGCGUAGAUAUCAGGAGGAACACCUGCGGUGUAGACAGCUUUCUGGACCAUCACUGACGCUGAGACACGAAAGCGUGGGUAGCAAACAGGAUUAGAUACCCUAGUAGUCC
rnacentral:rRNA from 1 species